UACGGGGGGGGGCAAGCGUUGUUCGGAAUUACUGGGCGUAAAGGGCGCGUAGGCGGCCUACUAAGUCGGACGUGAAAUCCCUCGGCUCAACCGAGGAACUGCGUCCGAUACUGGCAGGCUGGAAUCCGGGAGAGGGAUGUGGAAUUCCAGGUGUAGCGGUGAAAUGCGUAGAUAUCUGGAGGAAUACCGGUGGCGAAGGCGGCAUCCUGGACCGACAUUGACGCUGAGGAGCGAAAGCUAGGGGAGCAAACGGG
rnacentral:rRNA from 1 species